AGCAGCCGCGGUAAUUCCAGCUCCAAUAGCGUAUAUUAAAGUUGUUGCAGUUAAAAAGCUCGUAGUUGAAUUUCGGAGUUUAUCGGUUGGUCGGGCUUCACUGUCCGCACUGACCUGAUGGAUUCCUACCUUCUGAAUAACCAGCAUGCUAUUAAAUUAGUGCGUUGGGGAAGCAGAGCUAUUACCUUGAAAAAAUUAGAGUGCUUAAAGCAGGCUCAUGCUUGAAUAGAUUAGCAUGGAAUAAUAAAAUAGGACGGCAUGGUUCUAUUUUGUUGGUUUCUAGGAUCACCGUAAUGAUUAAUAGGGAUAGUUGGGGGCAUUAGUAUUCAAUUGUCAGAGGUGAAAUUCUUGGAUUUAUUGAAGACUAACUUCUGCGAAAGCAUUUGCCAAGGAUGCUUUCAUUAAUCAAGAACGAAAGUUAGGGGAUCGAAGACGAUCAGAUACCGUCGUAGUCUUAACCAUAAACUAUGCCGACUAGGGAUCGGACGAUGUUAAUUUAAUGACUCG
rnacentral:rRNA from 1 species